ACAGACGCUAUAGAAAGCGUUGUCUAGGUACGCAGUACGCAUAAGUUUUAAUUAUUAUUCGACCGCAGCUGGAGCAUUCACUUCCUCGAUAUCACUGCUAAUCCGUCAAAUACUAUGUUAUGAAGGCUCACAUAAACACGGACGUGCACUGACCUCGGAAGUUGG
rnacentral:lncRNA from 1 species